GUCUUUUUGAUUUAUGUAAAAGGUUGAACCUGCUCAAUGAAAAGAAAAUUAAAUAGCUGCGGUAUAUUAACCGUACAAAGGUAGCAUAAUCAUUAGUCUUUUAAUUGAGGGCUGGAAUGAAUGGUUUGACAAAAAAUAAACUGUCUUUAUAUAUAAAAUUGAAAUUUAUUUUUAAGUUAAAAUGCUUAGAUAGAAUUAAGGGACGAGAAGACCCUAUAGAAUUUUUAAAUGGUUUUAGGUGUAAUUGUUUGGUUGAAGUAAGAUUAUAUUAGGAAUUAUUUUUUGUUGGGGUGACAAGAGAAUAAGAAAAACUUCUGAUUUUAUUUUUGACUAAAAUAAUAGAAAGAAAAAUAAGAUCUUUUAAUAAAAAUUAUAAGAAUAAAUUACCUUAGGGAUAACAGCGUAAUUUUAUUUGAGAGUUCAAAUCAAUAAUAAAGUUUGCGACCUCGAUGUUGGAUUAAGAUGAUUAUUAAAUGCAGAAGUUUAAAAAAUAAGUCUGUUCGACUUUUAAAAUCUUACA
rnacentral:rRNA from 1 species